AUUUAUAUAGUUUAAUAAAAACAUUACAUUUUCACUGUAAAAAUAAAGAACUAUCUUUUAUAGAUU
rnacentral:tRNA from 1 species